rnacentral:tRNA from 1 species
GUCUUUGUAGUAUAUAAAAUACUUUGGUCUUGUAAACCAAAAAAGGAGAACAAUCGCCCUCCCCAAGACU